rnacentral:rRNA from 1 species
AUCAUUAAAGAGUAAGGGUGCUCAGCGCCCGACCUCCAACCCUUUGUUGUUAAAACUACCUUGUUGCUUUGGCGGGACCGCUCGGUCUCGAGCCGCUGGGGAUUCGUCCCAGGCGAGCGCCCGCCAGAGUUAAACCAAACUCUUGUUAUUUAACCGGUCGUCUGAGUUAAAAUUUUGAAUAAAUCAAAACUUUCAACAACGGAUCUCUUGGUUCUCGCAUCGAUGAAGAACGCAGCGAAAUGCGAUAAGUAAUGUGAAUUGCAGAAUUCAGUGAAUCAUCGAAUCUUUGAACGCACAUUGCGCCCCUUGGUAUUCCGAGGGGCAUGCCUGUUCGAGCGUCAUUACACCACUCAAGCUAUGCUUGGUAUUGGGUGCCGUCCUUAGUUGGGCGCGCCUUAAAGACCUCGGCGAGGCCUCACCGGCUUUAGGCGUAGUAGAAUUUAUUCGAACGUCUGUCAAAGGAGAGGACUUCUGCCGACUGAAACCUUUAUUUUUCUAGGUUGACC